rnacentral:lncRNA from 1 species
CGAACAGCGCCUUUCAGUAUAACUAUGUCAGGCAGUAUAGUCUCAGUACAAUUAUGGAUAAAGUUAGUAAAUAGACAUUUAAAAACAUAUUAAUUUAUGCUUAACCACAUCAAGUGGAGAAUUCAGUGUGUGUAUUAAAAUAUAUUUUUAGGUUAACCAAGUGGCCCAGGACUGAACUUACCUGUUGCAUGGAGGAUCAUGGAGCCUACAAGAACAUGAAGAGAUCUUCGCAAGUUAUGGAAAAAGAAAAAUUGAAGUAUGAUGGUGAAAUAUGAGGAAACAGUUUGGCUGUUAAUCAGCAUAAGGAUGCUCCAUCUUGCUUGGAAAACAAAGUGCUCAAGCCCGCAGAUAACAUCCAGUGAUGCUAGUUUGCAGAGAGACAAUACUACAAGUUCCUGAAUGUUUAUUGCUCAGCUGGGUGAAAUUAUUAAUGUACCUCUCAGGCUGCAUUUUCAAAGGUGAACAUUGGCAGAAGAGAAAUGCAACACAUACGGUGCCGUUCCACUUGAUAAACCUGCAUUCUUGGGAGUCUCCUUCCCUGCUAGACUGUUCUUUAGAUUUAUGCAGUAGCCAUGUUUGUCAAAGUAUUUGGCACCGGUGA